rnacentral:SRP_RNA from 2 species
GCCGGGCAUGGUGGUGUGUGCCUGUAAUCCCAGCUACUCAGGGGGCUGAGACAGGGGAAUUGCUUGAACCUGGGAGGCAGAGGUUGCAGUGAGCCAAGAUCAUGCCACUGCACUCCAGCCUGGGUGACAGAGCGAGACUCUGUCUCAA